AAUAGAGGAUAGAUCAUAAUCAGACCCCUCCCUAAAAAAAGACGAGCAGCGGCACCUUCCCAAAAACAAAGGGAAUUAUCCAUCGUCAUUGGUCUCUGAACCAAGAGACAAGAGCCAAGCUUUUAUUUUCCAAAAAUUGAAAGAACGGCCUUUCACCCCUUUAAGUGUUGGAGUUUCUCCUUUAGUCGAUUUUCGGCGCCACUGCCACUGCCGGACUUCAUCACUAGUUGGCUAGUAGCCUACUGUAGCCAGUCGUCCCUACCACCCCGUCUCUCUUCUCCUGUCUCUUCAUGUUGUUGCAUUGACGAAAAAACAGCAACAGAAAGUUAAUUCCAUCCAAUUUUUCAGAAAAUCAUUUUGGAAUUUCUGGUUAUUUGAUGCCAUGAUAUAGGGGUCAUCGUAGAGGUUACCAUCAUCGGGUUUCACUCCGUCCAUAUGUUUGCUUUGAUUUUCGCUCCGGUAGAUCGUAGUCGCCAGAUUUGGUUGUACGUCGCAUUGACAGAAAUUAUUAUAAAAAAAUCAGCUUUCAAAGGUCCGUUGCUUUACUUAGCUUUAUUUGCAAAGUUUGGUUUAUUUACUAUUCAUUACUAUGUGCAAUUAAAGGCAUACUUUUAGUUAUUUGAGCUUGCAAUUAUGCUGACAUCAUUCGUGUUAAGAUUAAAGUCUUUUUCUUUCUUUCUUGUUGAUGUUUAUCCUUUACUGAAUUUAAAAUAUGGCAUCAACUUUUUUUUUUUUUUAGUUUUAUCUUUUCAUUAGCUUAGAUCUGUGAAAGCUUGAGUAAGUAUUAAUGUUUCUGGAGACCAUUUUUGAAAGUAAUAAUAAUAUUUCCUUAUAUAUACAUAACUACAAAGCUCUUUGGAAUUUGCUGUUUGCUUUAAUUUAAUUAGGGAAUAUAAGUUAGCAAAUUAACUUGUGAGUUCUUCCUCUUAGUUAAUAAAAAUAAGUUUGUUGAUGUCUGAUGAAUGAAUGAAGGGAUUUGGGUUAAGCUUCACCCAAUUAGGCAUGUGGACAUUUUUUUUUCUUUCUUUCUUUCUUUAUUUUAUAAACAUAAGAUCUUGAUUUGAUUAUUAUUAGAUAUAUGAUAUGAAAGUUAGAAUUUAGAAAUAUUAAUAAAGAUGAUAAUUACGUUGGUUGGGACAUAUAUUAGUAAUGUGAAAUUGAUGAUAGUUUUGGCCUUUUGAUCUAAUAAGCUAAUAGUUACGGGGGUUUGGACUUAGAUACUACAAAAAAUAAGCUAGCGUUUAUUAUGUAUUUACUCUAUACAAAAAUACUUCAACAAUUUCAUAUCAGUAGCUCAUUUCCUUACAAUAAUCUCAAACUUAGAAAGAAAUAACCAUGAAUAUUCGUAGAAAAUACUUUAGGCACGAUUUAAUACAUCAUUUUGAUUGUGUACACAUUCGCGUGACAUAAUUACGAUUUUAAAAACAAAAUCAGAGUAUGCGUUCGCGCAAUUUUGAUUAAACAUUCUUAUCUUAAUAAUAAUAAAACAUUAUUAAUUGUGGACACGUACGCGUGAUAGAAUUUUUGACGCGCCAAACAAAUGGGUACACGUGCACAUGACUCAUUUCAAGAUAAUUUCUUAAUUAAAAGAGUGAAAUGUACAUAGGUUCAAAAAUGAGUAAUUUGACAAUUUGAUUAAGCCAAGUAUGAUCAAAGCGACCAUGCUAAAACCACAAAACCCGGGAAUGCCUAACACCUUCUCCUAGAUUAACAAAAAUUCUUACCCAAAUUUCUAUGUUCGCAGACCAUAAAUAAGAGUCAAACUUCCUCGAUUCGGGAUUUUAAACCGGUGACUUGGGAUACCAUAAAUUAUCCCAAGUGGAGACUUUGAAUUUGAAUAAAUAAUCCCGUUUCGAUUUUAGUAACUUUAAUUGGAAAAACUCCCUUAAUACCCAUCUCGGGGUAGUAAAAGGAGGUGUGACAAGGUGCACCCGGAAUUUGGUCAAUUCUGGAGAUGUAGGUCUCGACCUUCUUGUUUGUUACAUCUCGCAUUUUCGUACGGUAAAAUUUCAUUUUUAGUUAACUGACGUAGACUCGGGGAUGAGAUCAUCUUGACGUUAACGUACUUAUGCUAUUUAUAACAAGCGAUAAAUAAGUGUUAUGAAGGAUAAAGGGUACACGGAUUAAAGAAAACGAGUUUCGUUAAAAGUGGCCAAUUUGGAAUAAAAAUACCGGUCGAGCGAUAAUACCCAAUAAUUAUGAACUAGUACCAUGUAAGGUACCAUAUGACCACGGUAGUAUAAUAUAUAAAGUCUAUAUGAAGUAUUUUAACAAUAAAUAGAAUUUUAAGUAAUUUGUGAUAAUUUUUAAAUUAUGCACGUAAUUUAUUAAUUACCGGGUAACAAAAUAUUACCCAGUUAACUAAUAAGUGGAUAAAAAUUUAUAAUCUCCACCCCACCCUUCCCACGUGGCAAUAGACAGACAAUUCAAAUAUAUGACCAAUCGGUCAUAUAUGCUUAGUGGAGGAAACGUGUAACUCAUUCAAGUCUUAGUCAUAUUAACUCAUUUAGGUCUUAGUCAUAUUAACUCAUUUAGGUCUUAGUCAUAAUAGUCAUAUACAAAAGAGAGCAAAAUAAAUUCCUUCAUUCAAGAUCAAACAACCAUUUUACAUUCUGUCUUUGGUUCUUAAAACAAAACGUGAAAAGUAGAAUCCUUUCGUUCACCAAUUCAAGAAUUUCGACUGAAAUUUCAAAAGAAGCCAAUAUUUCAAUUUCAAAGAGCUACCAAUUUUGUUUCUCAAUUUCAAGAAUUUCAAAGCAGAAUUUUGUCCAUAUUUCGCAGAAGCAGAUUCGUUCAAAUAAUUUCAGGAACAGGUGCAAGUAGGCAAGCUGACGGUCCCCUUCUUAGGAUCCCUGAUCAGCGAGAAUUGGUGUGCUCCACUUGAUCCGAAGCUGCUUUUGAGUUUGGUUCGAUACGUUUGUGUAUAUAUAUAUAUAUGAGUGUGACGUGGCUCAGUCCCGUCUUUGUACAGUUAUGUUUCCAUUAGAGGUCUGUAGACAGUAUAUCUAGUUGGGUUGUAUGUGGUUUUGACGGAUUUGUUUUUGGAGCUAUACUUGUCUAUAGCAGCCUUGCCGGCUCGUCCAUUGUAUUCUGCAUAUAUACGUAUAUAUGCCUUGAAGGCAGGUUUCCUUCUCGUAUGAUAUUUUCGUA
rnacentral:lncRNA from 1 species